rnacentral:rRNA from 1 species
UACGGAGGGGGCUAGCGUUGUUCGGAAUUACUGGGCGUAAAGCGCGCGUAGGCGGCUUUGUAAGUCAGGGGUGAAAUCCUGGAGCUCAACUCCAGAACUGCCUUUGAUACUGAAGAUCUUGAGUCCGGGAGAGGUGAGUGGAACUGCGAGUGUAGAGGUGAAAUUCGUAGAUAUUCGCAAGAACACCAGUGGCGAAGGCGGCUCACUGGCCCGCUACUGACGCUGAGGCACGAAAGCGUGGGGAGCAAACAGG